GCGUUCUUAGCUCAGCGGUAGAGCGUCGUCUUUACACGGCGAAUGUCGUAGGUUCGAUCCCUACAGAACGCA
rnacentral:tRNA from 1 species